ACCUCCCCUGGCAACCCCUCCUUUUGAGAGUAUCAGUUUUUUGUCUCCACCCCUGUUCCCCUGGUUACCCUCUGUCAAUCCCUCCCUGAGUUCCUGUCCAUCAGCCACUGUCCCCUUCCCUAUUUCCAGAAAGUUCUCCCCUCCUCGGUGGGUGACUGGAUCGGGAACAAGGGUCCCUCCCUGUCGCAUUCCCUAUUGGCAAGCCGGCAUGUUUGUCACGAGUUUGUUCCGUCCCAAGUUCUCUCUCAUUGGUUGAAAUGUUCUAUGUUCCGUCCCUUUAUAAUCGGCUGUACCCCUGCCUCGUGGUCCCGACUCGGCUGGCGUUCCCUGGAGACAUUAAAGCACUCUGGACUUUGCCCUGAUUCGGGUCCCUCUUUUCUACUUCGCCUUCUUGCUGAUCACUGCUGCCUCCUGCUGAGGCGCUGCCCGGACGCCCCCGGCGCAUCUGGGCAGUGCCCCCCGGCUGUCAGUUGCUGUGCCACAGCUCGGCCGGUGCAGCCUCCUCCCCCGCCCGGGGGAGUAGAGUAAAAACCUCAGACAGCAGCUCGGCAUGUCACAAUGUUAUUUUAAGCCAUGCACACUUGUGCUGGUUUCAGCUGAGGCAGAUUUAGUUUUCUUCCCAGUGGCUGAUGUGGGGCUGUGUUUGGGGUCUGAUCAUAGAGAGAAGGUUUUGUUAUUGCUGAGCAGGGCUCACACAGAGCCAAGGUCUUUCUUGCUUUUCCUGCUUCUGGGGAGGAGGUUGGGGGGCAGGGGACACAGCCAGGACGGGUGACCCCAGCUGACCAAAGGGAUAUCCCAGUGACGUCCUGCUCAGGAUAUGAAGAGUAGGGAAGAAGGAGGAAGAGGGGACAUUUGGAGUGAUGGGGUUUGUGUUCUCAUAUCACUGUUAGGUGUGAUGGGAAUCCCUGCUCUCCUGGGGAUGCUGAGCACCUGUCCAUGGGAAAAACUGAAUUAAUUCCUUGUUUUGCUUUGCUUGUGUGCAGUCUUUGCUUUCCCCAUUGAACUGUCUUUGUCUUGACCCAUGAGUUUUCCAGCUUUUACUCUUCCAAUUCUCUCCCUGAUCCUCCUGACGGGUCAGUGAGUGAGGGGCUGUGUGGGGCUGGGCUGCUGGCUGGGAUUAAACCAUGACUACAUAAAGAAUUUCAUUUUGGCUCCUACAGAUAUCAAGAAAUUUCAGAUGAAUUUAUCUGCUCAUCCACAUACAUCUAAACUCACAUUUAUAGCUCAAUUUCUCUUCAUGAACAUAAAAAACUUCCCAAAAGGUCCAAUUUUUUAAACUAAAUUAAUUUUCCUAUUUUUAUGACAUAGAACCUUAUGUACAAUAAUUUCCAAGAAACACAGUAAGUUUGUUAUUGUCAAGUAAGAGACCAUAAGACAGAUAUAGCACUACCAGAAACAACAAAACUUCCUGUUUAAACAAGCUAUUAUACAGGCAUAAAUAAUCCCAAAGUACGAUUUUAUAUUUACAUCAUAUGUUGGGAUUUCUUAUAAUACUUUCAACAGGCCACAACCCUUUUUUUUUUAUCUAUUAAUUUUCAGUUUGGCACCCAAGUAAAAAAAAAUCCACAGAUGACACACAAAGUGACCUCUCUUCUCACUGGUUUCUGACAAGGACUUUAGCACAGUGAUACCUGCUGUAUAUUUAAUUUUUGUAAAACCAUCUUUCUUAAUUUUCUUGCUGUUUGAGAAUCUAAGAUGUGUGUGCUUGGAACAACACUGACAUUAAUAAAAAGGUCAAAUAAAAGUGCUUAUAAUGAGCCAACAAAGUUGGGAUCUGAGCCAGACAUUUAUGGACUAGCUUUGGCAUAAAAGGACACUUUCCACUCUUCUGAAAGCCAGAUGGACUUGGUUGCUCUCCUCACCACUGCAGUCAGAAUUCUUUGAUGAUUCUGGAGCUAGCAAAUUGCUUUUUAACCAAUUAUUCAGUUCCUCCCUUACAUUGCUACCAGGAAUUGGAGCACUGUGCUCUUCUGUCCCCGGCUUUAUCUCAGAUUUGCAUAGGCAACACUCUCGGCUACCUCUGGAAGAAGAAUAAAGGAGGGGAUAAUUCCGUACAAAGGCCUCCAGCCUCUGAACAGUAGCAGAUGAGAAAAUUACCAGCAACCAUCCUUGGUUUGGCACUCUAGAAGAGUUUGCUGGGGCAAGUAAAGUCUAGGAGAAAAUGAGAGCAAAUGCUGAGUAGACAGUGGAAUUGGCACAUUGACCUCAAUAUUAAUGGAAAUAUUGCUGCAUUAAUUCUUCCUCUGUGCUUCAGACAUUUUCUUGGACAAACCCUGGCAUUAAUCUCCCUACGUAUUUUUUCCUCCCUAGCUGGUGUCUUUUAGUGGGAUACUACUACAGAGUAAGGUAUUACUCACACUAAGCCACUGCUUUGGAUCUGUUUGGGAGGAGCUAAACGUGAACUGAGCAGUGACAGGAGAGAGGAGACACAUCAGAAACGUGGCAUCCAGAAGAGGAUAAAGAAUGGAACUUCCCACUCCCGUGCCAAGAUUCAGCAGCAUUCUGAUGAGAAAUGAGAGAUGGUCUUGGAAAAGACUUUGGGAACUUUUAGGAUAAAGAAGAACACACUUUCUCUAGAGUUUGGAUUUGAGUCACCAGGAGGAGGAUGAGAAUUUCCCUGUGAGCUCAGAAGACUUCGUUGUUUGGAGACCAACACUGAGGAACCUACUCAGAGGGUCACUCCUGCAUGGUGAGUGGAUGCACUUCCAGGUGCACCUGAUCAACAGGAAUACAAAAUCUACUGGAAUACUUGCAGAAAAAUCCAGGUUGGGAGAUUACAAGAUUCAAACACAGGAAUGCAAAACCACAACAUUCCCUUCCAAAAACCCCAGAAAGCAGGAAAGGAGCCCUGGGAAUAAAAUCUUCAAGUAAAUCCAGUGCUCCAACUGCAUUUAUUUGUUUCAAAGCCCAAACUGUGGGAGAAGGAACAGUUCCAGUGAAUGUUAAAAUCAGUGACAUUCUUCUGCUGACUGAAGACAAGGUUGACUCAAGCCAUCCAAUCUCAGGUGGUGGAAUUUAACUCCUGUACUUUGGAGAACCAGUGACUGGGAUGCCUGGUAGCUCCUCAGUUCCUUUCCCUAAAGAACAGGGCAAUUCCAGAAUGGAGUUCAGAGGAAGGCUGGAUGGACACAAAUAGCUAAAUAUUGAAAUUACAAAUGAUGGCUGAGUCAUGAAAUGCAGCACAGCACGAGGAGGCCUCUCCUGACAUCAACAACCACCAGUUCUAAAAGUCAGAUUUAGCUUCAAAACUCUCAUCUCUUCACCCCAGAUCUCAUCUGAUCCUGUGCAUUCCAGCAGUACACUAAAUAUAUAUAUUAAAAAAAAUUGUAAUGGAAAUCAGUAUUUUGUAGGAACAGAUCUUACAAUUGGCCUCUGGAGCCUGAUAUUUCUCACAUAACUUCAGCCCUGUUAUUCUUCUCAGGAGGUGGGGGAGUGCUUAAUGCCAUGUUCUGUCAGGUUAUUGCUGUCAUCUCAUAUUUAAUUAACAAGUAAAUGAGAGAUGCAAGCACCUGCUUGAACCUCUGUUAGCUGCAAGAGCUUCCUGAGUGAAGAUUUCAGCUGAGUGGUGGCAUGGAACCAGCAGUGCCAUUUCAGUGGUGUGGAGAGAGGAUGACAGAGCAGGUCUGAGGAGCCCUAACUGAGGCUGCUGCUAGGGAGAAACUCCUAGAGACAAAAAUGGCUGUGUCCUAUUUGCUACUGAUGUGUUUUGAAAUAGAAUAUUCAAUAUAAAGGAUGACACUGGAAAUCUAGCCAAAACAGGGUACGAAUGCAAUUUUAUAAACCAAAAAUAUUUCUGAAAAUUAAAUGGGUGUUCUUCUGUUUUAGGGCUGAACAGGCUCAUCCCCCUCAAAUGUUCUGUUGUUUCCCACAGAUGUGUAGCUUCCUUAUACUUCAUACUCUUUUUGGUCUGUAAAAGCUGACAUUGUUUGUGGACAUGCCUAUUAUGUGGCAACCCAAAUUUUUGUUCAAUAUUAAUUUUUAUUUUGUUUUCUUUAGCAGGUAAGAGUUCACAAACAGAAGGGAGCUCCUCUAAGUCCACAUCUUUAGCCACCUGAAUGGCUUCUUUCAAUUCCUUCAGUCCCAUGAGAGUAUUCCAAGUACUUUUUUUUUUCUUUUAAGCUUUCAUUUCCUCCCACUUGUCUUCCACUUACACAGAAGACUAUUUUUUCCCCACUGAAAAUGUCAACAUUUAUUGCUUUGUUGGGCCAGCCCUGAAGAAACCAAAAUUGACCCAAGGUGUCAAAUCUGCUUUCUUCCUUUUCCUGCUCUCCCACCCUUUCCCAUAAAUUAAAGCAAGUUUGAAUAAAAACCUUGCUGUGAGUCCUAGAACAGGUAGAUCUCUGUCAACAUUUUAUUAUGCCUUCUCAUCCAAGCUUUGAAUACAUACUGGAAAAAUUUGCAAAAAAUUUAUCUUUUCAUCAAUUUUACCAAUUAACUUUUAGUGUCAUCAUAAUUAUUACACCUUAUGUGGGUAGACUCUUCACAUGGGAAGGGAUGAAAAAAAUUGCAUGGAAGAAAACAAUAAUGAAAGGAGCACUUGUGAAGGUUCAAGUUAUAAAGUGCCAGUGGAUGUACCUGAGCAAUUUUCCCAGUUUUGGGUUAAGACCAAGGGAAUAUAUUUUCUAUUUGCCUGCACUGAUCAAAUAGCUGAAUAGUAAAGAUAUUAGAGCCUUGAUUCUGAUUUCCUUCUACAACCUCAUCCUAUGCUGAUAUAGCUGUCAUCAUAACAUCCAAGUACCAGGGAUAUGACCACCAUAGAUACUGAUUGUAUAAGUAGCUGGAUAAAAAUGGAAGAUCUAGGAUUUAUUUCCUGUUGCUAAGCAGGUAUGUGCAUUUUUUUUAAUUAAAAUCAGAUUUUUAUCAUCAUCUCUGUUGUAAUACCAAGAACACUACCACAGCUUUUGUUAUAAUUACUCUCUAACUACACACAGCUAUCAUAGAGAUGAGGAGAUCAGUGAAAGCCAAGUGAUUAACUUCAGUUGUAAGACUGUGGGAAAGAAUCUAUUUCAGCCUUAACCACGUGCUGCUUCUCAUGACAAAUCUGUGGCCACGUGAGUUUUUCACAUGUAUAAUUCCACCCAAAAAGUAACCAGCUCCUUAUAGCAUUCCACUGAUGCUUUGAUGUUCAUCUUCUGCACACCUUGGCCUGCUGGUGUCUGAAAAGGCCACUCACAGAUAGAGAGAUGAGAAUGUUCUUUAUAGUGCACACUGGGAAGCACAAGGCUUGUGUCAUUCCUGAGAUAGUUCAGCUUUUCACUUCUGGACUGAUUUAUUUUAUUACUUCAGGCUCCCAGUUCACCAGCAAAGUGAUUUGUGUGCACUCUGGCCAGUUCAGGUGUCAGCUCCCAGCCAGGUACUGAGCAGGGAUUCCCAGCAGAGCCCUGUAAAACUGCCCAGAGCACUCCCUCUCCAUAAGAACUUCUUUUCAGAGCACUUGGGAAGGCGUCCUCCUGGUCAGCAAAGGUGUGGGAGUGUUUGGACUGGCAGUUCUCCCUGGGACAAAGACCUGCUGGCUGCAAAAUGUGCUCUGAAAAUGGUGUUCAGAGCAGGAGGCCUCGGGGGCUUUGUAGGGCAGGAUUUCAGCUGGAACUGCUGGAAAACCAGGGCCAUCAGGCCUGGGCUGUGGUAUCAGAGGGCUAUCAGCCUCAAUGAAUCAUUUCAUCUCAUGGAAAGUGCCCUCCUAGCUGAGAUUGGCCUUACACCCAGGGCUGGUUCCCACAGGAGCAGGUGUCACUGUGUGGGCCAUCCAUACACCUCUCCAAAGAAGCUGAGACUCACAAAUCCCCUGGUUGAAAGCCUGCAAAAACAAAACAAAGUUCUCUGACCUACCCUAAUCUUACCCUCAUGCCAUUUUAUUUCAACACCCAGAAACCAAAGAAAGCUGUUGAGAAGAGAAAUCCGCUCAAUGUCAGUAAAUUUAACACCUUUUCUAACUGCCACCAAGAAAAACAUUGAAAAAUGCUCAUAUUUUCAACUCCUGUAUUUCAAGUUGCUCUAUUCUUUAUGGCCAUCUAUCCACAAAUUUUGUGAAACAGGGGAACAGUUCUAUUAUGACUUGGAAACCUGUAUUUCAUUCUCUUUUAUUUAGCUCAAACUUUCUGUCCCCAUGCCUCCAUCCUGCUGUAGGCUCAGUAUAAAUUCUUUCUUGUUGUCCAUUUCAAAAUAUCCUUAUUGUGGAAGUUCUAUUCCCUUAUAUUUGCCACCCUUCAAGACAUUUGACAAUUAUUUGACAAUUGAAAGUUCAAGCUAACUGAAACAGUUGAAAAAAAAAACUUUAGAUUUUCUAGAUUGAGUAUCUUCAUCUUUUCUUUUUUCCUUCUGUUACUUCAUAGUGACAAAGAAAAGAGAAGAAGGGAUAAAAAAGAAAAAUGAGAUGGGAAAGGAAAAUAUAUAGGAUCUGGAAAUAGCAAUUUUUUUAGUAAAUUAUUUGGGUUUUUAAAUCAGCUUCAUGGCUAUCUCAACCAACAUAAAAGUUUGAAUCAACUCUCUUCAUUAUGCAGACUUGAGAAGAUUUAUUGCAGCUGUGUCCUGAUGUGUUUGUACUGAGUGUGGAACGAAGAGGAGAAAAGAGGAAAUGAAUAAUGAGGCUUGCUGUCUCUGACAUGCCAUCCCAACGCACUGGGAUCUUCUCUGAUGUUUUCUCAGUUUGUUUUCAUAAAAAUUCAUAAGUUCUGCAUUUGAAUUUGAGUUCUGGCUUGAAUAAAUCCCAUGACUUGCAGCAAAGUGUAGCUAAGACUGCCAAAAUUUCAUGCAGCUGUAAAUCAAGACCACUCAGGAUUCCUGCUAUCACCACCUAAAACAAUAGAUUGGCCAGGUUCUCUUCAAAUGUGACAAGUGUGUCCCAAAAUUCAGUGUGAAUACUCUGGCCCAAGCAGAAAACCAGUAAUAUUCUAAAAUUAAAUGGAGUUCUGUCUAGACUGAUUGUUCAGUUCUGAUGAAUGGAAGUAACUGCACAACAGGAAACCAAGCAGUGCUGCUUUGCUCCCUACUCAGCAUAUUUUGCCCAUUUAAAAUUUAUCUUUGCAUUAUAAUAUAAAAUAAUUUUUAGACAAAAUUAGGCUAUGAAAACAAAAAUCAGAGGUGUUUCCAAAACCAGCAUGGGCCCCACAAGUUGCUUAGAGCUCUCUUUGAACACUGGUAGUUUCUCAUGGAUUUUUUUUUUUGCCUUACUCCUUGUUGUAGGAACACUAGGAAGGAGAUUGGUGAUUUGCCAUUGAUGCACAUUUUAUAUAUGAAAAAUAAAAUAGUAAGAAAAAUAUAAAUUAUGAAAGCAGAGAAUCAGCCCAUGUAUGUUCAGUUUACCACAAUAUUUCAGAGUCUUCCUGCAAUCACAAAUAAGACACUGAGUAAAUUACAUCAGCAGUAGUAAGAGAAACAGUCAAUUUCUUUUCCCUUGCAGGAAAAAAAUCUGUAUAUAAUGGAAUGACAGUUUAUGUAUCUUGUCACAACAGGGAAAGAAAAAAUAAUUUAACGUUUUCAUUUUGCUCAGUUUCUACAUGAUUUUGUGACGAACUAGUAAGCUUCUAGAAAACUUCAGGAUAUAUCUAUUGUCUAUAUGAAAAAGUUGAUUUUUCAUACCCAUCUCAAGUGAAAAGGUAGUGUGAUGUAUAUUUUAUUUAAAUAUAUGAACACCUUAAUUGUUCUUUUGAAAUUAAUAAACAUGUGGAAUUUGGGUUUGCACAGAGAGGGCUGCAUAUGAAGUUCUAUUUAGACAAAACUUGGAAUUCAAGCAUUCUGUAACUGUAAGAAAAGAUGUACCUGUUUAAAAGCAAGGGAACUCAAGUGCAAAUUUCAAAGAGAACUACCACUGUUUAUGUAUUAGCUUUCAAAAUUCAAACUGUAAAUAAAGAAAGCUCCUAAAACUGCCCUUUACAAAUGGACUUUAGUGUGAUGAUACCUGGGGCCAGUCAGAGUUUAAGUCAAAAUUUACAGGCUCCAAACUACAUUGGUUUGACAGGGAGGAGAACUUCUUUUACGCUCAGCUGCUGGGAAACUUCUUCUGCACAGCCCAUUGUGUCUAAAGACGAACCACAGAGCCCAGAGAUUGCUCCUCCAAAGGCUUCACUCUCCUAGCUGUUCCUAGAACGUGUCUAAGUCAGGCCAUCAGGAUUCAGGACAAAAUUCAGCUGGAGCUGCCUCUCUUUAAAAAGAGAAGGCAGGCUCAGAAACUGCUGUUGCAGUGGAGGAAUUGAUGCUGAAGGAAUGGAAAAAAGCUCCCGUUUGACCUGGAACAGAGAGUUCUUAGAGAGCAUGGUCAGGGAGAGAGGCCCUGUGCUUCCAAAAUACAGCUCAGAAACCAUUCUAAGCUACCUUUUAAACUUUGAAUAUUUAAGGACGUUUUUAUUAAUUAAUUUCUCUAAUUAAUUGCUAGAAAACACAAAAUUCAGAGAAAGGCAGCUGCCAUUUGCUACCUGUAGACAAAGGGAUAAAACCACAGCGAAACAUGAAUUUUCAUUGGAUGUUAAGUGGGAAUGAGAAUGUACUUCUUUGGGAAGGAGUUUUUCUGUAGAGGAAAGCCAUCAGAAAUUUCUAUCUGUGACAAUGCCA